rnacentral:rRNA from 1 species
UACGAAGGGGGCUAGCGUUGCUCGGAUUGACUGGGCGUAAAGGGCGCGUAGGCGGUUCGUACAGUCAGACGUGAAAUUCCUGGGCUCAACCUGGGGGCUGCGUUUGAUACGUGCGGACUUGAGUGCGGAAGAGGGUCGUGGAAUUCCCAGUGUAGAGGUGAAAUUCGUAGAUAUUGGGAAGAACACCGGUGGCGAAGGCGGCGACCUGGUCCGAUACUGACGCUGAGGCGCGAAAUCGUGGGGAGCAAACAGG